rnacentral:rRNA from 1 species
ACAGCAGUCGCCACGGUAAUACAGAGGGUGCGAGCGUUAAUCGGAUUUACUGGGCGUAAAGCGUGCGUAGGCGGCUUUUUAAGUCGGAUGUGAAAUCCCUGAGCUUAACUUAGGAAUUGCAUUCGAUACUGGGAAGCUAGAGUAUGGGAGAGGAUGGUAGAAUUCCAGGUGUAGCGGUGAAAUGCGUAGAGAUCUGGAGGAAUACCGAUGGCGAAGGCAGCCAUCUGGCCUAAUACUGACGCUGAGGUACGAAAGCAUGGGGAGCAAACAGGAUUAGAUACCCCCGUAGUCCCUGUCUCUAUACA